AGAAUCAACGCUGGCGGCGUGCCUAACACAUGCAAGUCGAACGAGAAAGUGGAGCAAUCCACAAGUAAAGUGGCGCACGGGUGAGUAACACGUGACUAACCUACCCUUGAGUGGGGGAUAACCUAGAGAAAUCUGGGCUAAUACCGCAUAAUACCUUCGGGUCAAAGGAGCAAUUCGCUUAAGGAGGGGGUCGCGGCCGAUUAGUUAGUUGGCGGGGGUAAUGGCCCACCAAGACUAUGAUCGGUAUCCGGCCUGAGAGGGCGCACGGACACACUGGAACUGAAACACGGUCCAGACUCCUACGGGAGGCAGCAGUGGGGAAUUUGCGCAAUGGGGGAAACCCUGACGCAGCAACGCCGCGUGGAGGAUGAAGUCCCUUGGGACGUAAACUCCUUUCGAUCGGGACGAUAAUGACGGUACCGAGAGAAGAGCCCCGGCUAACUUCGUGCCAGCAGCCGC
rnacentral:rRNA from 1 species